CGGCCCGCCGCAGGCCGGUAUAUGCGGCUCCGGCCCCAGGCCGGACGGGGAAGG
ncrna:unclassified sequences M23 RNA